GACGAACGCUGGCGGCGUGCCUAAUACAUGCAAGUUGAGUGCUGAAGGUUGGUACUUGUACCAACUGGAUGAGCAGCGAACGGGUGAGUAACGCGUGGGGAAUCUGCCCUUGAGCGGGGGACAACAUUUGGAAACGAAUGCUAAUACCGCAUAAAAACUUUAAACACAAGUUUUAAGUUUGAAAGAUGCAAUUGCAUCACUCAAAGAUGAUCCCGCGUUGUAUUAGCUAGUUGGUGAGGUAAAGGCUCACCAAGGCGAUGAUACAUAGCCGACCUGAGAGGGUGAUCGGCCACAUUGGGACUGAGACACGGCCCAAACUCCUACGGGAGGCAGCAGUAGGGAAUCUUCGGCAAUGGACGAAAGUCUGACCGAGCAACGCCGCGUGAGUGAAGAAGGUUUUCGGAUCGUAAAACUCUGUUGGUAGAGAAGAACGUUGGUGAGAGUGGAAAGCUCAUCAAGUGACGGUAACUACCCAGAAAGGGACGGCUAACUACGUG
rnacentral:rRNA from 1 species